rnacentral:tRNA from 1 species
AGAGACUUAGGUUAACACAAGACCAAGGGCCUUCAAAGCCCUAAGUGAGGGUGUGAAUCCCACAGUCCCUG